CUCCUCGUGCUCUUGCAUCUCUGGCAAGCCUCCGCCCUUUUCCCUUCUCACUUCUACACCAUCUCGUUCCCAGACCGAUCGGGAGAAAGGGCGACAAGAGAGGCCUCCGCUGCCGGCCGGCGCCGCAUCCCCAGCCUCCACCUCCCCGUCAUUUCCACAGGGACCUUCACACCAACAAGCGAACUGGGUUGCUGCUUUGGCCGAUUGAAGGCUAACAAGACAGCAGCUUGCUGCAAGACCAAAGUAGUCAAGAAUUGGGAUGCAAUAAGACCAAAGCUGUUUUUUUAUUAUUUUUUUGCAUAUUUAUGCCAUUUUUCAGAAUAUGCAUACUGUAUAUAAAUUUUAUUAUAAUGUAUAUUUGAAAUCAUUCCAAUAUAUGCACAAGUUAUGAAAAAGUACAUUUGCAUAAAUGUACAGCACAUGUAAAUUGGUCAAACUCCUCCAAUUGUACAAUUCAACAAUCUGUGCAUCCAAACAGGAA